rnacentral:rRNA from 2 species
CAAUGGGGAAUUUGGACAUGGGCGCAGCCUGAUCCAGCCAUGCCGCGUGAGUGAUGAAGGCCCUAGGGUUGUAAAGCUCUUUCACCGGUGAAGAUAAUGACGGUAACCGGAGAAGAAGCCCCGGCUAACUUCGUGCCAGCAGCCGCGGUAAUACGAAGGGGGCUAGCGUUGUUCGGAUUUACUGGGCGUAAAGCGCACGUAGGCGGGCUAAUAAGUCAGGGGUGAAAUCCCGGGGCUCAACCCCGGAACUGCCUUUGAUACUGUUAGUCUUGAGUAUGGUAGAGGUGAGUGGAAUUCCGAGUGUAGAGGUGAAAAUUCGUAGAUAUUCGGAGGAACACCAGUGGCGAAGGCGGCUCACUGGACCAUUACUGACGCUGAGGUGCGAAAGCGUGGGGAGCAACAGGAUUAGAUACCUGGUAGUCCACCCCUAAACGAUGAAUGUUACCCGUUGGGAGUUACUCUUCGGUGGCCAGCUACGCAUUAAACAUUCNCUNGGGGGUCNGGUGCAAGUUAAAACUCAAAGAAUUGACGGGGGCCCCCGCAAGCGUGGAGCAUGGGUUUAAUUCGAAGCAACGCGCAGAACCUUACCAGCCCUUGACAUCCCCGAUCGCGGUUAGUGGAGACACUAUCCUUCAGUUCGGCUGGAUCGNAGACAGGUGCUGCAUGGCUGUCGUCAGCUCGUGUCGUGAGAUGUUGGGUUAAGUCCCGCAACGAGCGCAACCCUCGCCCUUAGUUGCCAGCAUUCAGUUGGGCACUCUAAGGGGACUGCCGGUGAUAAGCCGAGAGGAAGGUGGGGAUGACGUCAAGUCCUCAUGGCCCUUACGGGCUGGGCUACACACGUGCUACAAUGGUGGUGACAGUGGGCAGCGAGCACGCGAGUGUGAGCUAAUCUCCAAAAGCCAUCUCAGUUCGGAUUGCACUCUGCAACUCGAGUGCAUGAAGUUGGAAUCGCUAGUAAUCGCGGAUUCAGCAUGCCGCGGGAAUACUCCC